ensembl:lncRNA
CCAGCAUGGGCUCACUACCAGCUCAGGAAACAGAGAGAAUGGAUGAUGAAGUGAAGAGAUGCUCAUCUUUCACUUCUUGCUAAAGGAGAUGUUGUCUGAUCUAUUCACACUGCUCUGUUGAAGAACUUCCAGAUGUCUGGAUUUAAGGAGAAGGUGGUAACAAAGUGCGUUUCGCUGCACAAGUCUUCCUUCUGUCUCUGAAGAACAUUUUACACCCUACAACUACAGAGCCAGCCUUCCUGACUCCUUCCUGCAAGUCGCAGACCCGUGAUCAUCAUCGGCACAACAAAUCCAGGUUUCUGCUGCUUGGCAAGGCAAUUUAUGAAGUCCACAUGCAAGGGG